AUUGAACGCUGGCGGCAGGCCUAACACAUGCAAGUCGAGCGGAUGAAGGGAGCUUGCUCCUGGAUUCAGCGGCGGACGGGUGAGUAAUGCCUAUGAAUCUGCCUGGUAGUGGGGGAUAACGUCCGGAAACGGGCGCUAAUACCGCAUACGUCCUGAGGGAGAAAGUGGGGGAUCUUCGGACCUCACGCUAUCAGAUGAGCCUAGGUCGGAUUAGCUAGUUGGUGGGGUGAAGGCCUACCAAGGCGACGAUCCGUAACUGGUCUGAGAGAAUGAUCAGUCGCACGGGAACUGAGACGCGGUCCAUGCGACUAAGGGACGCACCAGUCGGGAAUAUUGGACAAUGGGCGAAAGCAUUAUACAGUCAGGCCGAGCGUGAUACAGAGAUCUUCGGAUUGGAAAGCACGCUAAGUUGUGGGAAAGCGCAGUAGGCUGAGACCUUGCGGUAGUGACGUUAACAAGAGAAGAGGCACCGGCUAACUACGUG
rnacentral:rRNA from 1 species